rnacentral:tRNA from 1 species
GCCGCGGCAGCUCAGCCUGGGAGAGCGCCGGACUGAAGACAUCCGGUGGGCCCGGGUUCAAAUCCCGGCCGCGGCACCA